UGGGGAAUUUUGGACAAUGGGCGAAAGCCUGAUCCAGCAAUGCCGCGUGUGUGAAGAAGGCCUUCGGGUUGUAAAGCACUUUUGUCCGGAAAGAAAUCCUUGGCUCUAAUACAGUCGGGGGAUGACGGUACCGGAAGAAUAAGCACCGGCUAACUACGUGCCAGCAGCCGCGGUAAUACGUAGGGUGCAAGCGUUAAUCGGAAUUACUGGGCGUAAAGCGUGCGCAGGCGGUUUGCUAAGACCGAUGUGAAAUCCCCGGGCUCAACCUGGGAACUGCAUUGGUGACUGGCAGGCUAGAGUAUGGCAGAGGGGGGUAGAAUUCCACGUGUAGCAGUGAAAUGCGUAGAGAUGUGGAGGAAUACCGAUGGCGAAGGCAGCCCCCUGGGCCAAUACUGACGCUCAUGCACGAAAGCGUGGGGGAGCAAACAGGAUUAGAUACCCUGGUAGUCCACGCCCUAAAACGAUGUCAACUAGUUGUUGGGGAUUCAUUUCCUUAGUAACGUAGCUAACGCGUGAAGUUGACCGCCUGGGGAGUACGGUCGUCAAAGAUUAAAACUCAAAUGAAUUGACGGGGUCAUAGCUGUUUCCU
rnacentral:rRNA from 1 species